GAUAAGUAAUGUGAAUUGCAGAAUUCAGUGAAUCAUCGAAUCUUUGAACGCACCUUGCGCUCCWUGGUAUUCCGAGGAGCAUGCCUGUUUGAGUGUCAUGAAAUCAUCAA
rnacentral:rRNA from 1 species